rnacentral:rRNA from 1 species
UGGGGAAUAUUGCACAAUGGGGGAAACCCUGAUGCAGCGACGCCGCGUGAACGAAGAAGGUAUUCGUAUCGUAAAGUUCUGUCCUAUGGGAAGAUAAUGACAGUACCAUAGAAGAAAGCUCCGGCUAAAUACGUGCCAGCAGCCGCGGUAAUACGUAUGGAGCGAGCGUUGUCCGGAAUUAUUGGGCGUAAAGGGUACGCACGCGGUUUAAUAAGUCGAAUGGUAAAGAGCGGGGCUCAACCCCGCAAAGCAUUGGAAACUGAUAAACUUGAGUAGUGGAGAGGAAAGUGGAAUUCCUAGUGUAGUGGUGAAAUACGUAGAUAUUAGGAGGAGUACCAGUAGCGAAGGCGACGUUCUGGACACAAACUGACGCUGAGGUACGAAAGCGUGGGGAGCAAACAGG